rnacentral:rRNA from 1 species
UACGAAGGGGGCUAGCGUUGCUCGGAAUCACUGGGCGUAAAGGGUGCGUAGGCGGGUCUUUAAGUCAGGGGUGAAAUCCUGGAGCUCAACUCCAGAACUGCCUUUGAUACUGAGGAUCUUGAGUUCGGGAGAGGUGAGUGGAACUGCGAGUGUAGAGGUGAAAUUCGUAGAUAUUCGCAAGAACACCAGUGGCGAAGGCGGCUCACUGGACCAUUACUGACGCUGAGGCACGAAAGCUAGGGGAGCAAACAGG